UCGCUCUUCAACGAGGAAUCCCUAGUAAGCAUGAGUCAUCAGCUCGUGCUGAUUACGUCCCUGCCCUUUGUACACACCGCCCGUCGCUACUACCGAUUGAAUGGCUUAGUGAGACCUUUGGAUUGGGGUUUAGGGAUCGGAAACGAUUCUUAUUCUCCGAGAAGUCGGUCAAACUUGGUCAUUUAGAGGAAGUAAAAGUCGUAACAAGGUUUCCGUGGGUGAACCUGCGGAAGGAUCAUUAAAAAUUUAUAUUCCGGAAAUUCGUUUCGUUUUCCCGGAUUAUUUGUAUUCAAAUCCCACUCUUUAUAAAUAUAUUAAUCAUAUAAAACAAAAAUAAAAAAGAUCACUUUCAACAACGGAUCUCUUGGCUCUCGCAUCGAUGAAGAACGCAGCGAAAUGCGAUAAGUAGUGUGAAUUGCAGAAGUACCGUGAAUCAUCGAAUCUUUGAACGCAAAUUGCACUCUCUGGUAUUCCGGGGAGUAUGCCUGUUUGAGGGUCGCCUAACAAACCAUCGAUUUCGUUGCUUUUUAUUUAAAAAGGUGAUGUUUAUCGGAUUUGAGCCGUCUUUUUUUUUUAUAUUUAAGUGGCUUAAAAUUGAUUUUUUUGGUAUGAUCGAAGCGUAUUUUAUGAUCAAUCUUUGGUUAAAGAAACGCAUACGCGUACCGUUAUUUGUAUGAUGUAAUACGUUUGACUAUUGGAUUUAGUUCAUUCGUAUACGAUAUUUUUCAAUAUUUGACCUCAAAUCAGGUAAGAACACCCGCUGAACUUAAGCAUAUCAAUAAGCGGAGGAAAAGAAAAUAACAAUGAUUCCCCUAGUAACGGCGAGUGAAGAGGGAUAAGCUCAAUUUUUAAAUCUGAUGGGUUUCUUAUCAGAAUUGUAGUUUGAAGAAACGUUUUCUGCGUCUUGUUAACCCAAAUCUUUUGGAACAAGGUAUCAUGGAGGGUGACAAUCCCGUUCAUGGUUAACGUCAAGAUGCGUUACGAUACGUUUUCAAAGAGUCGAGUUGUUUGGGAUUGCAGCUCAAAAUGGGUGGUAGACUUCACCUAAGGCUAAAUAUCAGCGAGAGACCGAUAGCGAACAAGUACUGUGAAGGAAAGAUGAAAAGAACUUUGAAAAGAGAGUUAAAUAGUACGUGAAAUUGUUGAAAGGGAAACGAUUGAAGUCAGUCAUGCUAGUGAAAAAUCAGUUUGACGGGUUUUGAGUACGGGAGUAGAGGCAGGGUCAAACCGUUUCUCUUUUGUACUUGGGAUUUGUCGGAUGUACUUUUUCUUUGGCAGGUCAGCGUCGGUUUCGGAGGUUGUAAAAUACUUGGGGGAAAGUAGCUCUGCUUCGGGAGAGUGUUAUAGACCCUGGGGGAUGCAGCCUGCGGGAUCGAGGAUUGCAGCAAAUGCUUUUUGGCUUGUCGCCUGAUCUCUGGAUGUUACCUCGCUUUUGACAACAUUCUUGUCACUGGUGGGUACUAAUGCCCAUUAGGUUAGAGCGAUCAAAAAUUUGCUAAGGAUGCUGACGUAAUGGCUUUAAACGACCCGUCUUGAAACACGGACCAAGGAGUCUAACAUAUAUGCGAGUGUUA
rnacentral:rRNA from 1 species